AUUGAACGCUGGCGGCAGGCUUAACACAUGCAAGUCGAGCGGAGAUGAGGUGCUUGCACCUUAUCUUAGCGGCGGACGGGUGAGUAAUGCUUAGGAAUCUGCCUAUUAGUGGGGGACAACAUUCCGAAAGGAAUGCUAAUACCGCAUACGUCCUACGGGAGAAAGCAGGGGAUCUUCGGACCUUGCGCUAAUAGAUGAGCCUAAGUCGGAUUAGCUAGUUGGUGGGGUAAAGGCCUACCAAGGCGACGAUCUGUAGCGGGUCUGAGAGGAUGAUCCGCCCCACGGGGGCUGAGACACGGCCCAGAAUCCUACGGGAGGCAGGAGUGGGGAAUAUUGGACAAUGGGGGAAACCCUGAUCCAGCCAUGCCGCGUGUGUGAAGAAGGCCUUAUGGUUGUAAAGCACUUUAAGCGAGGAGGAGGCUACUGAGACUAAUACUCUUGGAUAGUGGACGUUACUCGCAGAAUAAACACCGGCUAACUCUGUGCCAGCCGCCGCAGUAAAAC
rnacentral:rRNA from 1 species